rnacentral:rRNA from 1 species
UAAGGAAUAUUGGUCAAUGGACGCAAGUCUGAACCAGCCAUGCCGCGUGAAGGAUGAAGGUCCUCUGGAUUGUAAACUUCUUUUAUCUGGGACGAAAACGGGAUUUUUAUCUCAAUUGACGGUACCAGAGGAAUAAGCACCGGCUAACUCCGUGCCAGCAGCCGCGGUAAUACGGAGGGUGCGAGCGUUAUCCGGAUUUACUGGGUUUAAAGGGUGCGUAGGCGGAUGAAUAAGUCAGUGGUGAAAUCUCCGAGCUUAACUCGGAAACUGCCGUUGAUACUAUUUGUCUUGAAUAUUGUGGAGGUAAACGGAAUAUGUCAUGUAGCGGUGGAAUGCUUCGAUAUGACAUAGAACACCAAUUGCGAAGGUAGCUUGCUACACAAUCAUUGACGCUGAGGCACGAAAGCGUGG